rnacentral:tRNA from 1 species
GGGGGUAUAGCUCUGUGGUAGAGCGCUUCCUUAACACGGGACGAAAGUGGGGUCAAUUCCCCAUGCCUUCA